rnacentral:rRNA from 1 species
ACACAUGCAAGUCGAGGGGCAGCAUGGUCUUAGCUUGCUAAGGCCGAUGGCGACCGGCGCACGGGUGAGUAACACGUAUCCAACCUGCCGUCUACUCUUGGACAGCCUUCUGAAAGGAAGAUUAAUACAAGAUGGCAUCAUGAGUCCGCAUGUUCACAUGAUUAAAGGUAUUCCGGUAGACGAUGGGGAUGCGUUCCAUUAGAUAGUAGGCGGGGUAACGGCCCACCUAGUCUUCGAUGGAUAGGGGUUCUGAGAGGAAGGUCCCCCACAUUGGAACUGAGACACGGUCCAAACUCCUACGGGAGGCAGCAGUGAGGAAUAUUGGUCAAUGGGCGAGAGCCUGAACCAGCCAAGUAGCGUGAAGGAUGACUGCCCUAUGGGUUGUAAACUUCUUUUAUAAAGGAAUAAAGUCGGGUAUGCAUACCCGUUUGCAUGUACUUUAUGAAUAAGGAUCGGCUAACUCCGUGCCAGCAGCCGCGGUAAUACGGAGGAUCCGAGCGUUAUCCGGAUUUAUUGGGUUUAAAGGGAGCGUAGAUGGAUGUUUAAGUCAGUUGUGAAAGUUUGCGGCUCAACCGUAAAAUUGCAGUUGAUACUGGAUAUCUUGAGUGCAGUUGAGGCAGGCGGAAUUCGUGGUGUAGCGGUGAAAUGCUUAGAUAUCACGAAGAACUCCGAUUGCGAAGGCAGCCUGCUAAGCUGCAACUGACAUUGAGGCUCGAAAGUGUGGGUAUCAAACAGGAUUAGAUACCCUGGUAGUCCACACGGUAAACGAUGAAUACUCGCUGUUUGCGAUAUACGGCAAGCGGCCAAGCGAAAGCGUUAAGUAUUCCACCUGGGGAGUACGCC